GAAAAACCUAGGGGUAAGACAGGAAUAAAGACACAGAGCUUCUAGAGAAUGGACUUGAGGAUAUGGGAAGGCAGAAGGGUAAGCUGUGACAAAGUGAGUCAGUGGCAUGGACAUAUAUACACUAUCAAACGUAAGGUAGAUAGCUAGUGGGAAGCAGCCGCAUAGCAGAGGGAGAACAGCUCGGUGCUUUGUGACCACCUAGAGGGGUGGGAUAGGGAGGGUUGGAGGGAGGGAGACGCAAGAGGGAAGAGAUAUGGGGACAUAUGUAUAUGUAUAACUGAUUCACUUUGUUAUAAAGCAGAAACUAAAACACCAUUGUAAAGCAAUUAUAGUCCAAUAAAGAUGUAAAAAAAGAAAAAGAAAAAAAAAAAACGCAGGAAGCUAUUAGCACCCAGUGAAGGGUGAUUGCGUUCAUUGAGUAUCACACAGUGUUUUCCAGACUCCUGAUGAAUAGCAAACACUGUGGAGGUGCAGAGGAAGGACCGGCCCAGGCACAGUGCACACCAGCAGCACAUUGUGCCCCACCAGUUUGACCUUGGGUCACUAGCAAAGUGUCCCUGCAGCAAGGUGCAUGGCGGAGGGAGCUGGGUUGUGGUGCCGUUCCUUUCUUAGGCCAAUUUAAAUCUGCUCCCAGGCAGAACUGGGACUGCUAGAGUCCACAGUUGGAGUGGAAGUUGCCGAAACAAUUUCUUUAGUGUUUCUGCCAAGUGUUGUAAAUAAAAUAAAUUUAACAAACUAUUCAAAAGACAUGACAAGCUCAUUGUCCGCUCUGUCUGCAGGGAGGAUCAGCCACAUGUACAAAAAGCAGCAGAUGGAGUCUCAUGGAAGAGAGAGACUGACCAGGAGCCUGGAGACCCAGGUUUAAGCCUUAGCAGAUGGCCUCGGUUUAUUGAGGCCUCUGGUGACCUUAGCAGGAACAGCCAUCAUAUUGCUAACCUCAGUGGGUUGAGGUUAAGGAAUGAAUGGAGGUGAGAAGAAUGCUAGUAUGGAUAUCGUUUGCAAGAAGCUUGAUUGUGAAGUGAAAGAAAGAUUUAGGGGUCUCUGAGAGGUGGUC
rnacentral:lncRNA from 1 species